rnacentral:misc_RNA from 1 species
GAUGAAGAACGUAGCGAAAUGCGAUAAGUAAUGUGAAUUGCAGAAUUCAGUGAACCAUCGAAUCUUUGAACGCACAUUGCGCCCGGCAGUAAUCUGCCGGGCAUGCCUGUCCGAGCGUCAUUUCUGCCCUCGAGCGAGUCCAGCAUCUAGGUGCUGGGCCCGCCCGGCGUUGGGGCACUACGGGAAGCCCUGUGCUGUCCCCCGUAGGCCCCGAAAUGAAGUGGCGGUCCUGCCGCGGCGCCCCCUGCGUAGUAUAACAGCUCGCUUCGGGACCCGGUGGAGGCCUGCCGUCAAACCUUACUCUCUAAGUUUGACCUCGGAUCAGGUAGGGUUACCCGCUGAACUUAAGCAUAUCAAUAAGCGGAUGA